AUGCAAGCUUGAAGAUCUUUUAGAAGAAAUUCAGAAACUUGAGAUAGUUGAAAAAGAAUAUGCUGGCACAACCUUGAGCAUUGAUUAGUUUGGAUGUUGCAAUUGAAAUUCGUAGUGCAACUGUUUUGCUCUUUGGUAGUUAAUUUUCAGGUUUUUGCUGCUGCUUCACCAGAAGUACUUUUGGAUUAUGCUAUUGACUUGUUUUUUGUAUUUAAUCACACUUUUAUGCAAGCAAUUAAGUGAUCUU